rnacentral:rRNA from 1 species
AAUCCUUGCCGUCGAAAGUCUAAGGUUUCCUGGGGAAGGUUCGUCCGCCCAGGGUAAGUCGGGACCUAAGGUGAGGCCAAGGAGGCGUAGCCGAUGGAUAGCAGGUAUAAAAUUCCUGCACUACCGAAAUACUUAAAAACGAUAAGGGACGCAGGAGAGGAAGGAAAUCCGGGAAGAGGAAAAACCGGAGCCGAAAGGCAUAGUGAAAAUUUAAAGUAACGAAGUUCCAAGAAUCACACUGACGAGAAAAGCUUAUUGACAUUGUAUUAAGGUACCCGUACCGCAAACCGACACAGGUAGAUGAGGAGAGGAUCCUAAGACGAGCGGGAGAAGCAUUGUUAAGGAACUCGGCAAAUUGACCCCGUAACUUCGGAAUAAGGGGUGCCUAUGUAAAAGUAGGCCGCAGAGAAUAGGCCCAAGCAACUGUUUAACAAAAACACAGGUUUCUGCUAAAUCGAAAGAUGAAGUAUAGGAGCUGACGCCUGCCCAGUGCUGGAAGGUUAAGGGAAAGAGUUAGGGUUAAACCGAAGCUUAGAACUGAAGCCCCAGUGAACGGCGGCCGUAACUAUAACGGUCCUAAGGUAGCGAAAUUCCUUGUCAGGUAAGUUCUGACCCGCACGAAAGGCGUAAUGAUUUGGGCACUGUCUCGACAAUGUACCCGGCGAAAUUGUAGUACUAGUGAAGAUGCUAGUUACCUGCGACAAGACAGAAAGACCCCAUGGAGCUUUACUGUAGCUUGAUACUGGGUUUUGAUAAUUUAUGUACAGGAUAGGUGGGAUGCGAAGAAACUAGAGCGCCAGCUUUAGCGGAGCAAACCUUGGGAUACCACCCUUAAAUUAUUGAAAUUCUAACCUGUGAUCAUGAACUGGUCAGGGGACAAUGUCAGGCGGGCAGUUUGACUGGGGCGGUCGCCUCCUAAAGAGUAACGGAGGCGCCCAAAGGUUUCCUCAGCGCGGACAGAAAUCGCGCGAAAGAGUGUAAAGGCAGAAGGAAGCUUAACUGAGAGACAGACAUGUCGACCAGAUACGAAAGUAGGUCUUAGUGAUCCGGUGGUUGUAAGUGGAAAUGCCAUCGCUCAACGGACAAAAGUUACCCUGGGGAUAACAGGCUUAUCUCCCCCAAGAGUUCACAUCGACGGGGAGGUUUGGCACCUCGAUGUCGGCUCAUCGCAUCCUGGAGCGGAAGUACGUUCCAAGGGUUGGGCUGUUCGCCCAUUAAAGCGGUACGCGAGCUGGGUUCAGAACGUCGUGAGACAGUUCGGUCCUUAUCUGUCGCAGGCGUAGGAUAUUUGAAGGGAGCUGUCCUUAGUACGAGAGGACCAGGAUGGAGAUACCGAUGGUGUAUCAGUUGUCACACCAGUGGCAUGGCUGAGUAGCUAAGUAUCGAUGGGAUAAACGCUGAAAGCAUCUAAGUGUGAAGCCCACCCUAAGAUAAGAUGUCCCAUACCGUAAGGUAGUAAGAUUCCACGUAGACUAUGUGGUUGAUAGGUUGGAGGUGUAAGUACAGUAAUGUAUUGAGCUGACCAAUACUAAUAAAUCGAGGGCUUAACCAC